rnacentral:rRNA from 1 species
UACGGAGGGUGCGAGCGUUGUCCGGAAUCACUGGGCGUAAAGGGCGCGUAGGCGGCGCGGGCAGUCAACGGUGAAAGCUUGGGGCUCAACCCCGAGUCGGCCGUCGAUACUCCCGUGCUUGAGCACUGUAGAGGCAGGUGGAAUUCCGGGUGUAGCGGUGGAAUGCGUAGAGAUCCGGAAGAACACCCGUGGCUAAGGCGGCUCUCUAGUACGGUACUGACGCUGAGACGCGAAAGCGUGGGGAGCGAACAGG